rnacentral:rRNA from 1 species
AUUGAACGCUGGCGGCAGGCCUAACACAUGCAAGUCGAGCGGAUGAAGUGAGCUUGCUCCUGGAUUCAGCGGCGGACGGGUGAGUAAUGCCUAGGAAUCUGCCUGGUAGACGUGGAUAACGUCCGGAAACGGGCGCUAAUACCGCAUACGACCUGAGCGUGAAAGUGGUGGUUCUUCGGACCUCACGCUAUCAGAUGAGUCUCGGUGCGAUUAGCUAGUUGGUGGGGUAAAGGCCUACUAGGGCGACGAUCCGUAACUGGUCUGAGAGGAUGAUCAGUCACACUGGAACGGGGACACGGUCCAGACUCCUACGGGAGGCAGAGGAGGGGAAUAUUGGACAUUGGGCGAAGUCCUGCUCCAGCCAUGCCGGGUGGGUGAGGAAGGUCUUCGGAUUUUAAAGCACUUUAAGUUGGGAGGAAGGGCAGUAAGUUGGAAACUUGCUGUUUUGACGUUACCUAAAGAGUAAGCAACGGCUAACUUCGUG